UUUUCCUCUAGAGGCAUUGCAGGUGUGACUACUGUGUCCUAUGUGUAUCAGUAGGUGACAGAGAGGAGAGAGGCUAUGCCUGUGCUCAGUUCAGAUCUAUGAACAUCUGAGUGAUUAACAGCCUAACAUG